rnacentral:rRNA from 1 species
AUGAAGACCAGGGGCCCACACCCUGCUCACGAGGGUGGGGGACGCCCCCCUAGGGUGCGCCCCUACCUCGUGGGCCCCCUGGAUGCCCUCCGACGUCAACUCCAACUCUAUAAAUUUGCUUUCAGAGAUAAAAAAAUAAGAGAGAAGAAAUUAUCACGUUUUACGAUACGGAGCCGUCGCCAAGCCCUAAAACCUCUCAGGAGGACUGAUCUGGAGUCCAUUCGGGGCUCCGGAGAGGGGGAUUCGUCGCCGUCGUCAUCAUCAACCAUCCUCCAUCACCAAUUUCAUGAUGCUCACCGCCAUGCGUGA